CCUACGGGUGGCAGCAGUAGGGAAUAUUGCUCAAUGGGGGAAACCCUGAAGCAGCAACGCCGCGUGGAGGAUGAAUGUUUUCGGAUUGUAAACUCCUUUUGUUAGAGAAGAUAAUGACGGUAUCUAACGAAUAAGCACCGGCUAACUCCGUGCCAGAAGCCGCGGUAAUACGGAGGGUGCAAGCGUUACUCGGAAUCACUGGGCGUAAAGAGCGUGUAGGCGGGAUAGCAAGUCAGAUGUGAAAUACUAUGGCUUAACCAUAGAACUGCAUUUGAAACUGUUAUUCUAGAGUAUGGGAGAGGUAGGUGGAAUUCUUGGUGUAGGGGUAAAAUGCGUAGAGAUCAAGAAGAAUACUCAUUGCGAAGGCGACCUGCUAGAACAUAACUGACGCUGAUGCGCGAAAGCGUGGGGAGCAAACAGGAUUAGAUACCCCGGUAGUC
rnacentral:rRNA from 1 species